rnacentral:lncRNA from 1 species
UCCCCUUGGCCGCCGCCCCCCUGCCCAUCUCUUCCUCUCUCAAUUUUUGCAGCCACCAAACCCUAGCCGCCCCCCCUCCCAAUCCCCUCCUCCCAAGGUGCCAAUCCUUGCCGCUCGGAUCAUCGUCGUCGUGGUGCGAGUCUUCAAUCGUUUUGGUGGAGGGAAGAAGGGAGGAAGGAAAGGGGAGAAUCCAAGGUGGUGGACUUCCGGAUCGUACUUAGGGAUUUGCCCGAACUUCCGGUAAAGGCAAGUAAAUACAGUGGUGGUUGCUACCGUUUGGUUUGCAUCCUAUUCCCUGUCAUUGAGUAUGCAUAAGUUUUAAUUAUGUUAAUCAUUGAAUUCUAUGAUGAAGUUUAUUUGUUUGGAAGUAUUAAUUCUCAAUUGUCUAAUAUUGUGGAUGAUCAUAAUUUGGUAAUGAUAUAUGUGGUUGAUUCCCAUCUGGAUGAAGUUGAAGUGUCUUUUGAAUCAUGUUAUAUGAAGUGUUGUAGGCAUGACAUGCACAUCGCAUCAUUCAUCUUGCAUUUUGAAGUUAUGUCGUGAUCUUAUGGUCCGACCGUACCGGUACAUUUUUAGCAUCGUACGUUGCCCGAGGAGGGGUACGAUGCGGCUUCAUAUCCUUAGAGGUAUGAAGGCAGAAGUCAUCCUUGCAUUUGCAGACAUUUGCACUCAUGAGGAAUAUAUGAAGUGUGACAUUACUAUGUUACUAUUGUGGUUUCUACCUGCGAGGUGUGGUAACUAGGUGCGUUGUACGUUGUAUACGUGUUGCACCUUCGUAAUAGGAAGGUUGUGGAAUCAAGUGGUGGUAAAACAAUGUUCUUAUGUGGUUAAACUGUUUGAUAUUAUUUUACUUGCUGAGAUGUGUCAUCUCACUCUUGCAUUACUCAAUGCAGGUACUUGAUACAUGUUGGGAAUGAGGGGAGUAGCAGCACGUCCACUUUCACUCUCACAAUAACGCUGCCCAGGCGCAGCCAUGAUUUAAUUAGAAACUUAUUGUCAAAGGAAGUUUGUUUAUUUUUUAUAUGGUCGUGCGCACUGGUUAAUUCAGUUCAGGUCGUAUGUUUAUCUUUCCUUGCUAGCCGAUUAAUAAUACUUAGUAUGUUUUAGUCAUGAUAUAUGUUUAUACUCUGUUGCCCCCUCUUUUAUGCUAUCUUGCAAAGGGGAUGCUGCCGAAAUUUUAUAUAUGGACGUCGGAAGUGUAGUACAGUAGCAUUCCGGGUUGUUUGUGGAACCUGGAGUGUUACAGUUGGUAUCAAAGCAUAGGCUUUAGAUUCUACGCAAUUUGAAGAUAAAUUUGACACACUUGCACAUAUAAGAAGGGUAUGGGUUCAUAUAUCUUUCAUAUUAGUAUUUUAUUGUAUAGAUGACUAGAAUUUCCUUACUCCAAACCCCUUUAUGGUUUGAUGAGGUAUGUCGUUAGCGACGUAAUGCUUGAUAUGAAAUGUUACUCCUAUUUAAUAUUGGUUUCUGGAAGUGGUUGUUAUUGAAAUUAUUAUGCGAGUGAAGCUACUAAUGUACUUGUUUUAUAUACAUAUCGUCAUGAUGUUUUUUUGGAUGCAAUGUUUACUAAUCUCUGAGCUGUUACCAUCAUAUAUUUCUAUAUGCUUGACUGUGGAUGUUUUUUUUCCCAAAAGGAUUCUUGGGUUCUAGUACUUGUAGGACCGAUUGUUUAUUGAGCUUGUGUAUAGAGGAUCUAAUCCGACUUGGUGUAGUGUGAAAACACUAUACAAUGAAGUUUUAUGGUGUUGUUGAGUUUGAUUGACUGUUGGGUUACAACCCAACUUAUCAAUGUGAUAUUUCCAUGGGUGCAGUGCUUUUCACCUCACCUUUUUUUGGCUAGUGUGGCUACUUGCCAACUUGAUCUUAGAGUACAAUAGGUUUGUCUCCAUAGAGCAAAGGCAAUGUUGUACUGUCUAUGAAAUCUUGAGACUAGAAGAACUCAAGUGAAUUUGCAAGAUGACGUGGAUAGAUAAGUUCAACCAUGUUUACAUGAUAGGUUUUCUUAUUGUGUGCAACCUUAUCCUUAAUAAUAAAUAGGGUGAUUUCAAGUGGAUUUUAUGUCUAUAUUAUAGUUGAAGAGGCAUGCAUGUUUUCCUUCUAUGGUUUGUUUCUAUAGCCAAAAAGGUUAUGCAUAAUUUUUAUUUGUUGGAGGCUAGUCAUGCGGACGAUAUGGACAACCCGUUUUAUAUUGUUUUUAAUCGCCGAUGAUACAUGGUAGUUUUUUUAUAUGAUCAGUUCUCCAUGCAUGCUUGUGGAAUUAUUAUUUGGACCGCUUUAUCUUAAACAAAGUCAAUGUUUAACUGGAAGUUGCUUAUGUUUGUUAGUCAUCUAUCUCUAUAAUGAUGUGGUUGUUGCAUUAGAUGGAGAUUUUUAUUAUAUGAAUGAUGGUUUGAUAGAUCAUGUAUGUCUACUACUUUGAAUUCAUCCUAUGACAUCACUAGGUACAAAUUGUUCAAGUGCAAUAAUAGGAGGUAUUGUUGUAUGUGAGGUUAAUCAAAGUAGUUGGGUUAGGUGGAUUAUCUUAUUGAAGUCCAAUUACUCCUGUUGAGCAUAGUAUCGUGUUAUUAUUUUAGUGUUGAAAGUAAUAUUUAUGAAGCUUUUGUAUGAGUCUGUGUCAAGAAGUACAUUAAUUCUUCUUGUUGUUAUCCCUCCAUUGCUUUAUGAGUAUUGCAAAUUUUAUCUCUUUUGAGAGGGGGAAAAGAUGUUAUAUGACAUGAGCACCAUUUGCUUCACAUCAACAGAAUAGUUUUGGAGAUUUCUAGUAGUUGGAUUCUAGUGUAAUAACAACCAUGUUUUAUAGUGCUGGAGACGGGUAUGUCAGGUGUUUCAUACAUUGUCGAUACAUGGAUGUUUGACCUUAGUGGCAUUAACAAAUGAGGUUGUUGAAUUCAUUGAUUGUUGUGCUUAGUGUUCUAACCUAUUUGGUAGAGUGUUAUUUAAAGACUUUGUGGAGUUGCAUCCCAGUUUGGUAGUGGAAAAUCCUAGUGUUGAUGGCACAUGCCAAUGACUUGGGUUUUGAUUUUAUCUUGUUUUUUUUUAUUUUGUUGAUAAUGUGUUGUUUGGUUUCGGGAGGCAUUUUAAAUUAGUUGGAGGCUGAAUCAGGCUUCACUUAUCUAGAAUGUUUUGUAGUAUGUUUCUGCAUCUUUCCAUAGGAUGCUUAAUCACCAUGUUUGGUCUAAACAUUUGAGAGAUAUGGGUUUCUUAAAACAUCUUUGUUGGUGUCUCUAGCAGAGUGGGUCUUUAAUUUUGUACGGAAGAGUAGACAUUGAAGACAAUAUCAUUUGGUCUUUGUGGAUUAUGAAAGUUUUAGUAAUUUCAUGAUCUUUUCAAAGAGUAUGGGUUUCUAAUUCUCAUUGCAUAUAAUUGGAGUUAGGUUGCUCUGAAGUGUUGCACUGUUGUGUCUGAACUUUAGGCGUCGUUAUUAUCACCAAUAAAUCGACCGCGUUUUGAUAGUUGCAGAGCACAAAUUUGCGAAUUCUCUUUAAGCAAAACUUGUAGGUCUUUUCAGUACCUUUUUAAUGGGUAUUUACUUAUAACUGUCUGUUAAAUAGAUUUGGAGAGGUGGUUGCCCGGAUAUAAGUCGAAUCUCUAAUGUGCAGUAUCUCAGGCUGAGUUUAGCUGUAGGUCCUGCAGAGUUGUGGGCUAUAAGGAUAAAUUUGGGUGCAACUUUAUUGCAAAAGUCGUGGACAAUUUUCAAAACUUUUCCAACGCGGGUUCGUUGUAGUUUAAGUUGAGUAUAGCAGGAGUUAUAGGUUUUUGAAUUUUAGUUGUCCAUUGUUUCAAUCUUAUCAGUUUUGAAACAAAAGAGUUGCAUUGUUUUAUCGGUUUGGAAACCAAUUCCGAGACACUCAUUAUAAUAAAAGUUCUAGGGAAUGUUAUAAUCUUUUCAGUGAGUUUAUAUUUGCAAAAUUUUGUUAGCUGCAGGGAGUUAUGAUAUCAUGUAUAGAAUGUGCUUGGAUGAAUAUGUGGGCAGACAUAACAUGCUUAAAUUGAUUCUUGUUUGCAUGAUGUGAGAUUAGGCUUAAAUGAUUUAAAAAGUUAUCAUAUUACUUCUAUACUUAUAUUUGUUCUAGGUGUCUCGUAAUGAAGAACCUAAAGUUAUUAGUCUUACAAUGAACGCUUAAUCUUAGAAGAGUAAUGAACCUGAUAAAAUAUAUUGCUUGCUAUUGGGACUGCAUGACCAGUUGUAGUUAUGCAGCUAGUUCAGUGAAGUAAACCAUCUUUUCUGUCGAGAUGUUAUAUAUAAAAGUUGUAGCCAACUUCUUUAUCUUACUUGUGUAAAAAUUUCAUGACCAUAGGUCUAGUAGUUUGGGAGUUAUGAUUUUCUCAAGUCCAGUCUUGAAAUAUGUGCAGAUUCUAUACAGAUUUCGAAGCUGACCUUGUUUGCCCAAUUUAAACUUCGAAUAACUUAUUAUAAAUUAUAAAGAAGUUGUAGUACUUUUUCUUAAUCGUUACAACAAAUUUUGGAUUAAUUUUUUUUUUUUUGGAGAUCUAUAAGUUAAGUUACAGCUGAUUUAAGUGUGAUCUCUGAAUCUGUCCAAAUUUGGACAGCAGAGCCUUUCUCGUGUCUUUUGACCUUAAUAUGCAUUGAAUUAACUUGAUAUGUUUAUAAAUGAAUUAUAGACAAUUCUACUAGCUUUCUAAAAAGUCUAGGAGCACCUGAAUUGGAUGAUUGAGACUCCAAUUAUGGAUUUUUUGAAUUGAGUAGUUGAGUUAUGUCCAAGUCUGGACAGAAUUUACGUUUAGCACUGUUUGACCUUUCUAAGUGUCAAAUCUUGUUGUGAUGAUAAUACCAAGGGUAUAGUGGACUUUAUAAGUUUUCCAUAAAGUCCUAGUUUACUAAUUUUCGAUGCAUAUUUUGUGAGUUAGGAGCAAAACAAUCAACCACUGUGCUGCUAUCUAGAAAUAUGCAAGCAUUAAGUUGCUCUCUUGAAGUUGCUCUUGUGUGGCUAAGUUUGGUUUAGCCUAUAGGAACAUUAUAUGCCUUGCAUUCAUAUAUACAUUCCUUGAAGUACUUGCAUAUGUCAAUGAUUGAUUUGGUGUCAGGAAAGCUUGGUCCGAGGUAUAUAGGACCGUCUGCUAUCUUGGCCGAGUUGGCAGCUGGGCUUAGCACAUGUAAUUGUCGGAAUCUGUGAUCAGAGUACACCAAGUAUUCCAUGUCUUUUUGUUGACGAAGUAUUUGCGGAAUCCAGACCAUCAAAUCGAGCUAGAGCCGAUUCCUCUGUAGCAAGAGCAGACUCUAGAGUGUCGUCUACUGCGUAUCUUAGAAUCCUAGGAGCUUGAGGAGCUGAUGCGGCAGAAGUACUCGAACUUUUCUUUUUGUGUGAGUUUUGUUGAUUCAUUAACCUUUCUUUUGUUGUUCCGAUAGAAGCGUCAGAAUUCGAGGUCGAAUUCUUUUUAAGAGGGGUAGAGUGUGAUACCCGGUUUGCAAAGAAGAGAAGUUGGGGGUUGUUCUUUUUGUUUUUUUUCCUCAUCCGGUUGUUGUUUUGGGGAUUUGGGAUUUUGUGGAAAACAUUCACAACUAGGGCAGUAGAAUUUAUUUGGUUUGACGCUUGCGUUGCGGUCGGGAGUUGUCGCGUGGGUUAGUUGGGCCGCAAUUGGAGUUUCGGCCCAUUAACCCUCCCAAACCCUAGCCGCCUCUCUCCUAACCCCUCCCCCCCAUGUGCAGCCGCCCCCCCACUUCUCCUCCUCCCCUUGGCCGCCGCCCCCCUGCCCAUCUCUUCCUCUCUCAAUUUUUGCAGCCACCAAACCCUAGCCGCCCCCCCUCCCAAUCCCCUCCUCCCAAGGUGCCAAUCCUUGCCGCUCGGAUCAUCGUCGUCGUGGUGCGAGUCUUCAAUCGUUUUGGUGGAGGGAAGAAGGGAGGAAGGAAAGGGGAGAAUCCAAGGUGGUGGACUUCCGGAUCGUACUUAGGGAUUUGCCCGAACUUCCGGUAAAGGCAAGUAAAUACAGUGGUGGUUGCUACCGUUUGGUUUGCAUCCUAUUCCCUGUCAUUGAGUAUGCAUAAGUUUUAAUUAUGUUAAUCAUUGAAUUCUAUGAUGAAGUUUAUUUGUUUGGAAGUAUUAAUUCUCAAUUGUCUAAUAUUGUGGAUGAUCAUAAUUUGGUAAUGAUAUAUGUGGUUGAUUCCCAUCUGGAUGAAGUUGAAGUGUCUUUUGAAUCAUGUUAUAUGAAGUGUUGUAGGCAUGACAUGCACAUCGCAUCAUUCAUCUUGCAUUUUGAAGUUAUGUCGUGAUCUUAUGGUCCGACCGUACCGGUACAUUUUUAGCAUCGUACGUUGCCCGAGGAGGGGUACGAUGCGGCUUCAUAUCCUUAGAGGUAUGAAGGCAGAAGUCAUCCUUGCAUUUGCAGACAUUUGCACUCAUGAGGAAUAUAUGAAGUGUGACAUUACUAUGUUACUAUUGUGGUUUCUACCUGCGAGGUGUGGUAACUAGGUGCGUUGUACGUUGUAUACGUGUUGCACCUUCGUAAUAGGAAGGUUGUGGAAUCAAGUGGUGGUAAAACAAUGUUCUUAUGUGGUUAAACUGUUUGAUAUUAUUUUACUUGCUGAGAUGUGUCAUCUCACUCUUGCAUUACUCAAUGCAGGUACUUGAUACAUGUUGGGAAUGAGGGGAGUAGCAGCACGUCCACUUUCACUCUCACAAUAACGCUGCCCAGGCGCAGCCAUGAUUUAAUUAGAAACUUAUUGUCAAAGGAAGUUUGUUUAUUUUUUAUAUGGUCGUGCGCACUGGUUAAUUCAGUUCAGGUCGUAUGUUUAUCUUUCCUUGCUAGCCAAUUAAUAAUACUUAGUAUGUUUUAGUCAUGAUAUAUGUUUAUACUCUGUUGCCCCCUCUUUUAUGCUAUCUUGCAAAGGGGAUGCUGCCGAAAUUUUAUAUAUGGACGUCGGAAGUGUAGUACAGUAGCAUUCCGGG